rnacentral:rRNA from 1 species
CCUACGGGAGUCAGCAGUGAGGAAUAUUGGUCAAUGGACGAGCGUCUGAACCAGCCAAGUAGCGUGAAGGAUGACUGCCCUAUGGGUUGUAAACUUCUUUUAUAUGGGAAUAAAAUGUUCCACGUGUGGGAUUUUGUAUGUACCAUAUGAAUAAGGAUCGGCUAACUCCGUGCCAGCAGCCGCGGUAAUACGGAGGAUCCGAGCGUUAUCCGGAUUUAUUGGGUUUAAAGGAAGCGUAGGUGGAUUGUUAAGUCAGUUGUGAAAGUUUGCGGCUCAACCGUAAAAUUGCAGUUGAAACUGGCAGUCUUGAGUACAGUAGAGGUGGGCGGAAUUCGGGGUGUAGCGGUGAAAUGCUUAGAUAUCACGAAGAACUCCGAGUGCGAAGGCAGUUCACUGGACUGCAACUGACACUGAGGCUCGAAAGUGUGGGUAUCAAACAGGAUUAGAUACCCCUGUAGUC